CCCUUAGAUGUUCUGGGCCGCACGCGCGCUACACUGAUGCAUUCAACGAGUUUUUCCUGGUCCGAGAGGAAUGGGUAACCUUUUGAAAGUGCAUCGUGCUAGGGAUAGACUAUUGCAAUUAUUGGUCUUCAACGAGGAAUUCCUAGUAGACGUAGUUCAUCAGACUGCAUCGAUUACGUCCCUGCCCUUUGUACACACCGCCCGUCGCUCCUACCGAUUGGGUGUGCUGGUGAAAUGUUCGGAUCGGCCGUUUGUCGCGGUUUCCGCGGCUCGUGGCUGAGAAGUUCAUUAAACCCUCCCACCUAGAGGAAGGAGAAGUCGUAACA
rnacentral:rRNA from 1 species